CAGCGAUGUCCCAAUGCCUCAGUGAGGCUUCUUAAAGCUGUGGCGAAGGUGAGUCUGGGCCCCGCCCCCUAGGCCUGGUGGAAUCAGCCUGAGGAGGGAGCGGCCUUCCCCAACACUCACGGUGCAGCAGCAGCGAUGUCCCAGUGCCUCAGUGAGGCCUCUUAAAGCUGUGGCGAAGGUGAGUCUGCGCCCCGCCCCCUAGGCCUGGUGGAAUCAGCCUGAAGAGGGAGCGGCCUUCCCCAACACUCACGGUGCAGCAGCAGCGAUCAUGAACUGGAGUCCGAAAGAGCUUCCCAGUAUUUAGUCUGAAGCAAGAGACAAGGUCAGGUUGGGGGAGAGGCUGUGCGUCUACUUUAAUACAGAAAAGUUUUGUUGCAAAAUUUUAGGAACAUGGUGGGGGGAGGGGAGCAAAGGCUUUUCUUGUGCUGUCUGGAGUCUUGUCUCCAGCACACUUAGCCAGUUCUGCCCUAGCUAUAAAUCCAUGUUUUGGUCUUCCAUACUCAAGAUGCUUCAACUGAUGGUACAAAGCUCCUCUUUAUCCAGGCUAGCAGCUAUAUGAUACUUCAGACAUACCUUUCUUACCCACAUGACACAUUUGCCAUUUCAAGCACUGAAAGGCUGUAUAUUUCUCUUUCCUGUUAUUUCAAAUUCCAGGCAAAAUCCAAACUUUUAGAAGUGCGGCGAGAUGUUUACCGAAGAUUUGAACCUGAGACGGCAGGCCUUUGUGAGCUCGUGGCAAGAAAUCUGGGCCUCGCCUGCUCCCAUUCAUUCAGACGAGCCCCGUGGAACAUAAAAGCUUUUGCACUCAGACGAGGCAGAGGGUGGCAGCCUCUGUACUAGGCAGUGACCUGAGGUGGCUUGUGCAAACUGAUGUAAAGGAAAUAGUCAACAAAGCAACCUGACUGUAUCAGACUGAGAUCCCAAGGAAACACAGUAGGAAGCAACUUCUACUGGAACCAGUGAGGUUUACCGCAGAGUAAGCAUAACUGGAAUCAGACUGUUAAUUAGCAGAGGAAGUAGCAGAAGCACUUAAACUCUACUAGGUACAAGGCAAGAAGUGGGGAAGAAAGAAGUGUCACGUCGACAGAACUUUGAUCAGGG